GACGAACGCUGGCGGCGUGCUUAACACAUGCAAGUCGAACGGAAAGGCCCUGCUUUUGUGGGGUGCUCGAGUGGCGAACGGGUGAGUAACACGUGAGUAACCUGCCCUUGACUUUGGGAUAACUUCAGGAAACUGGGGCUAAUACCGGAUAGGAGCUCCUGCUGCAUGGUGGGGGUUGGAAAGUUUCGGCGGUUGGGGAUGGACUCGCGGCUUAUCAGCUUGUUGGUGGGGUAGUGGCUUACCAAGGCUUUGACGGGUAGCCGGCCUGAGAGGGUGACCGGCCACAUUGGGACUGAGAUACGGCCCAGACUCCUACGGGAGGCAGCAGUGGGGAAUAUUGCACAAUGGGCGGAAGCCUGAUGCGGCAACGCCGCGUGCGGGAUGACGGCCUUCGGAUUGUAAACCGCUUUCGCCUGUGACGAAGCGUGAGUGACGGUAAUGGGUAAAGAAGCACCGGCUAACUACGUG
rnacentral:rRNA from 1 species